UUGAACGCUGGCGGAAUGCUUUACACAUGCAAGUCGAGCGGCAGCGCGGGGCAACCUGGCGGCGAGCGGCGAACGGGUGAGUAACAUAUCGGAACGUACCCUAUCGUGGGGGAUAACACAUCGAAAGAUGUGCUCAUACCGCAUCCGACCUGAGGGUGAAAGCGGGGGAUCGCAAGACCUCGCGCGACAGGAGCGGCCGAUAUCGGCUUAGCUAGUUGGUUAGGUAAAGGCUCACCAAGGCGACGAUCCGUAGCUGGUCUGAGAGGACGACCAGCCACACUGGAACUGAGACACGGUCCAGACUCCUACGGGAGGCAGCAGUGGGGAAUUUUGGACAAUGGGGGCAACCCUGAUCCAGCCAUGCCGCGUGAGUGAAGAAGGCCUUCGGGUUGUAAAACUCUUUCGGCAGGAACGAAACGGUGACUACUAAUACUAGUCACUAAUGACGGUACCUGAAGAAGAAGCACCGGCUAACUACGU
rnacentral:rRNA from 1 species